CACACGGCCUCAGCCCAAGGAGUCCCACCCUACAAAGUCCUUCAUUGUCGUUGAGGAUCACAGGUACCUGCUCACGGGUUUAUUUUCUUGAUCAGCAUGUCAGCUCUUAGCUACUGCUCCAGCUCCAUGCCUGCCGGCCUGCCACCAUGCUUCCUACCAUGAUGGCUAUGGACUCACCCCCUGAAGCUGCAGACCCCCAAAUAAAGCUUUAUUUUAUAAGUUGC